GACGAACGCUGGCGGCGUGCUUAACACAUGCAAGUCGAACGGAAAGGCCCUGCUUGCAGGGUACUCGAGUGGCGAACGGGUGAGUAACACGUGGGUGAUCUGCCCUGCACUUCGGGAUAAGCCUGGGAAACUGGGUCUAAUACCGGAUAGGAGCCAUUUUUAGUGUGAUGGUUGGAAAGUUUUUUCGGUGUAGGAUGAGCUCGCGGCCUAUCAGCUUGUUGGUGGGGUAAUGGCCUACCAAGGCGGCGACGGGUAGCCGGCCUGAGAGGGUGGACGGCCACAUUGGGACUGAGAUACGGCCCAGACUCCUACGGGAGGCAGCAGUGGGGAAUAUUGCACAAUGGGCGCAAGCCUGAUGCAGCGACGCCGCGUGGGGGAUGACGGCCUUCGGGUUGUAAACUCCUUUCGCUAGAGACGAAGCUUUUUGUGACGGUACCUAGAUAAGAAGCACCGGCUAACUACGUG
rnacentral:rRNA from 1 species